GCCGGGUGGGAGGGGGAGGAGGAGGGGAGGGGGAGGCGGCGCCCGGGUCUGGGGGAGGGGCCGCGGCGGCCGGGCGAGAAAGGGGUGGGAAUGAGGGGCUGGGCCCCCGCAGCGGCCGAGCCCGGGUGGGCGCCACGCUCGUCCCCUCCCCCUCCCCGUCACUGUUCCUUUCUGCAAGGCCAUCGCGGCCAUCCUCCUGCUCCGUGUCGGAGGCGUCCUGCAACCCAGCGGACCUACAGGCUGUUUCUCCGGGUGGUCUCCUCCCUAGAACCCAGACCCCAGACCCAAGAAAGAGCCACUCCUGCUGUCGCCUCUCUGCUUCCCGUCCCAAUCACAUUCCCAAGCUUUUGUGUGAUACCACCCCACAGCAAGCCCUUCCCCACUCCUCUUUUUGGGGUGGGGUCCCUAAGAGGUGCUGCAGCCUCACUCCCCUUCCAGCCCUUGCUCUUACCCCAUCUGAAGGAAGAGGCAUGGACAAUGUGGAACCCGCGAGUGUAUUUCCCAGCAUCUCACCAUGCGCACACAGGCUCAGCCAUGAAAAGGUCACCUGGCCCAGAGAACUCUGCUGCCCUGGUCCCUAGGGCCGCUUCCAAAGGAGUGCCGGAAGGACUGAGCUGCCCAGAGCUGACCCGAGCGCCCACACGCCCUUGGGAGACCCUCGAUUCCAUCCCAGAUCAGUCCAGCAAGGCCAAGAGCAGAACCAGCAAGUGUAGGAAACAGCGUGUGCAGUGGGGUGGUUGCGAACCAGGCUUUUGAAGUUAAGUUCACACCUGGGAACUGGCUGGAGAAGGGGAUUGUGGAGAUGCCGAGGGUCCUGGGGUGGGAACUGGUACCUAUCCUGCCACUCUACCUCCAUCCCUCUCAAGGUCAUUCUAUCUACCCCAAGGUAGGGGGCCCAUCCUCCUCCUUUGGUCUGGAAGUCCAGGGGCUGCCCAUCCUAAACCGAACAGGGCCUGCAGCUAACUCCACUCGAUUUACUGCAGGAAACCACUCCAGCAACGGGGAAAGGGGCGCCGGAGGACAGAGCCCCUGCCGGGCCCCAGGGGGCGUGUCGGCGGCCCCAACGCAUCGCCGGCAGGCAGCGUGGCGGGGACUCUGCCCGACAGCCUCCUGCGCCGUCCGGAGCAGCUGACUCGCUGGCCGGGAGCCAGGUCGCCACGGCCGGGAGGCAGCAACGUGCGGCGCGGCAUGUCGCGGGUGCAGAGGCAGGGAAACGUGGGGGCGGGCCCGCGCGCCUCCUCCCCCUCCCCACGCUGGCCCAUUCAUAAAACCCGCAGGCACUGCCCGGGCCUGGCAGCCUUGGCUUCCUAAUUGCAAGCUCAUUAAGGAGUUUGCAUCUCAUUUGCAUGGAAAUCAUUUCCUGGCCCUCAACAGAGAAACACCCCCACCCCAUCCAGCAGCCCCCUGUGCCCUGCUCUACCCAGCCACAGUCCCAGAGAGGAAGGGGCCUGUCCCUCUGGUCGGCAGCCCUCUACCCUGCCGCCUCCCUAUUCCUCCUGUCCCCCUUGGGAAUGGGGGAGGGGGAUUGGCAGAGCACCCACCCAGCAAGGAGCCCUGCCUGUGCCCCAGGUGAGCUGGCUCUGCCCCAGUGGGUCCAAGUGAGGGAGAUGCCGGCCAAGUCAUUUGCCCCCCGGCCUGGCCAUGCCCAGGGAAGGGAGGAGGCGGUGGGCAGUCCUCUGGAGCAGCUGGGAGUACCUGGCAGGAGUAGGGCUGGUGGGUGAGGCUGUUCGUGCCCAGCCUCACGUACCUUCCCUGCUACAGGCCGUGCCCCCACCCCCACACCCCUCGCCCCACAGAACAAGCACUCAGUGAGUACCAAACAGACACCCAGUCACCGGCGCACAAAGACACCCACACUGGGCCAGCCAUCAUGGCAGCCUCCCUGGCAGCCACCCGCGGCGGGCAGACAGAUGCCUUCACGACCAUUUUGUUCUACAGCAUAGUGCCAGGGUUGGGGGAAGGGGCUUGUCCUGAGACUUCUCUGAGUAAAAGGCUCACAGGGGGGUUCCCUUAUGAACCCCAGAUGUGGCCUUUUGCCCCUCUUCUCCUGCAACCCAUACUUAUGGGGGCCCCCAAGUGCUGCUUCCUGCAUGAGGACCCGGCUUCUGUUCUUCCUGUCCCAAGUAUAUGUGGUGAAGGAAUUGCUCCCCACUCAUCUGAAGUGGGGGGAUAUUUUAAUACAAAAUCUGUUGGAAAUGGAAUAGAACUGCCCAAAGUAGAUGAAAUCAGAUACUGCCUGGAACAGUGUCCUGGAUCUGUAUAUCCUAGCAUAGUGAAAAUGAUCACGAAAUUUUCAGCAUUAGAGUCCAAAAUAAAAUCUAGCUCUUGUUCAGGUCAUUAAGGUCCCUCCCCAGUCCUGCUCAUGCUUCCUGUCUGCCCACACUCCUACCUGCUGAAUCUGAAGUUUCUUCCUUCUAUGGCUAGGGCCAAAAAGGGUGGGCAGGAAUGUUCAGUUGGCAUUUGAGCACUGUGUGUGUGCAUGGUACAGGGAUGCUUAAAGAAAAUACUAGAACACUUAUUCAUUUUUCAUUUCAUCCUUUUUCUAAUUAAUGUGACCAUAUUGUAAAAGAUCAACAAUACAAAAUAUAUUCAUAUUACAGGGGUGUGCUCAACAAUCUUUUUCUUGCUAGGGUUCCAUGAUCAAAAAUAGCUUCAAGGUCACUGGUCUAGACUUCAGGCAGAGUGACUGUGGGCAGGGGCUGGUUUGUCUUGUCCGUCUGAGUAUCUGGCCUGAAACACGGUUAGCUCAGAGCCUUGAAGGGAGGCGGGAGCAGGGACAGAGUGGUAAAGGAACAAAGUCCACUCCUAGAAGUGACAGAUGAAGAAACUGAAAUGACUCUGGGUGGGGAAAUUGCUCAGAGGAGGACAUGGACAGAUAGUCUCUCAUUGGUGCUAGAUCUGCUGGGCCCAGCACACAGCAUCACCCAAACCCAGCUCCCACCCACAUCAGCAAGCACCACUCCCUCUCCUGCCUGCUAGACUCUGCUGGCACCAAAGGAGCAGAGCCAGGUAAGGGUUGCCACCCACCACAUCUCCCAACUUGGCAGGAAGCCUGUUGAGUGUUUAGUAUUCUGGAAUUCUCCAGAAGUCCAUCAAAUAUGGAGAAAGCAUUUAGGCUCCAGACAGGCCCCAAUUCCCCUCCAGGUGAAUGACGUGGGCACAACACAUAACUGCUAUGGGCUUUGGUUUCUUCGCCUGUAACACGGGACUGACAAGCACACUUACCACGUGGUGUAUUGUGGAUACUGACCAGCCUGCUGGUGUACACGUCUGGCACAUAAUGCAUGCACCAGAGUCUUCCUGGUCUGUGCGACAGGUGCCCACCAAAGAACCUGUUGGGGGCUGGGAUUGUGGCUCAGCGGUAGAGCGCUCGUCUAGCACGGGUGGGACCCGGGUUCGAUCCUCAACACCACAUAAAAAUAAAGGCAUUGUGUUGUGUCUAUCUACACCUAAAAAAUAAAUAUUAAAAAAAAAAAUGGUUAGUCUUUGUUAAAAAAAAAAAAAAAGAACCUGUUGAUUGUGACUUGGCAUCAUUCUGCGAAGGAAAAU
ensembl:lincRNA